AGAGUUUGAUCCUGGCUCAGAUUGAACGCUGGCGGCAUGCCUUACACAUGCAAGUCGAACGGCAGCAUGAUCUAGCUUGCUAGAUUGAUGGCGAGUGGCGAACGGGUGAGUAAUACAUCGGAACGUGCCCUGUAGUGGGGGAUAACUAGUCGAAAGAUUAGCUAAUACCGCAUACGACCUGAGGGUGAAAGUGGGGGACCGCAAGGCCUCAUGCUAUAGGAGCGGCCGAUGUCUGAUUAGCUAGUUGGUGGGGUAAGGGCCCACCAAGGCGACGAUCAGUAGCUGGUCUGAGAGGACGAUCAGCCACACUGGGACUGAGACACGGCCCAGACUCCUACGGGAGGCAGCAGUGGGGAAUUUUGGACAAUGGGCGAAAGCCUGAUCCAGCAAUGCCGCGUGUGUGAAGAAGGCCUUCGGGUUGUAAAGCACUUUUGUCCGGAAAGAAAUGGCUCUGGUUAAUACCUGGGGUCGAUGACCGUACCGGAAGAAUAAGGACCGGCUAACUACGUGCCAGCAGCCGCGGUAAUACGUAGGGUCCAAGCGUUAAUCGGAAUUACUGGGCGUAAAGCGUGCGCAGGCGGUUGUGCAAGACCGAUGUGAAAUCCCCGAGCUUAACUUGGGAAUUGCAUUGGUGACUGCACGGCUAGAGUGUGUCAGAGGGGGGUAGAAUUCCACGUGUAGCAGUGAAAUGCGUAGAGAUGUGGAGGAAUACCGAUGGCGAAGGCAGCCCCCUGGGAUAACACUGACGCUCAUGCACGAAAGCGUGGGGAGCAAACAGGAUUAGAUACCCUGGUAGUCCACGCCCUAAACGAUGUCAACUAGUUGUUGGGGAUUCAUUUCCUUAGUAACGUAGCUAACGCGUGAAGUUGACCGCCUGGGGAAUACGGUCGCAAGAUUAAAACUCAAAGGAAUUGACGGGGACCCGCACAAGCGGUGGAUGAUGUGGAUUAAUUCGAUGCAACGCGAAAAACCUUACCUACCCUUGACAUGCCACUAACGAAGCAGAGAUGCAUUAGGUGCUCGAAAGAGAAA
rnacentral:rRNA from 1 species